rnacentral:tRNA from 1 species
GGGCCGCUUGGCCAGUUCGUCGGCGAGCAUCGCCUCCAGCGCGGGGACGGAGGUGGCCACCAGCCGUAGCGGGCCGAGCGCGUCGGCACGGUCCG